rnacentral:misc_RNA from 1 species
AAGUCGUAACAAGGUUUCCGUAGGUGAACCUGCGGAAGGAUCAUUAACACGUAUCCAAACGUUAAAACCCCCCCCGUGAACCUUCAUCCUGCUCUUGUAACCCGCGUAGUUCGCAAUCUCUGAUAAAUCAUAGCCCGGAAAGUUGUAGUGAUUCAGAGACCUCUGGCUACGUGCGAACAUUGGAACAAUUACAAUCGAGCGGUUCACAUUAAACUGUGGGGUUAUUAGGGGGCAUGGGGACCCUUUGGCAAAGCUCCUGCCCGAGUGUACGGUCUACAGGAAUUGUAGAAGCGCUAUCCUUGCACAAUCAAUGACACUUUCCGACACUGACUGCUUGGAAAAACAUUGCCUAUAGAACUAGCUCAAUGUAAUACAUUGGGUAAAAAAACCGAACAACUGUUAACAAUGGAUAUCUUGGUUCUC